CCCUUCAAAGAGGACGGGAGGAGGGGGCGGGGCUCCCGCGGUGAGAGAUGAAAAGCUGGAAGGCCGACGUGUUCUGGGAAGAUCUACUUAAUCAGACAUUAAAGAAAUGAGACUUGUGGCUCUAGCAGCAAACCUGCUUUAGCUGUAAAUACCACCGCGUUUGCAGUCAUCGAUCCGGAUGUUUGGUGAAAGGUCAGGGAUCAUUGGAUUCACGGUUGGUAACGAGCAGACACAGGAGGAGGACAGUCAGGAAUACAGAUGCUGCUGAUGCUCGGUCCACCUGCCGUCACGUUGUCUGUUUAUUUACAGACCCGCGCUCCUCUUAUCUCGGCCGCUUUGAUCUGAAACGGGCGUGAACUUCCAGCGCUAAACUGCUAACCAGGAGGCGUCGGCGCCAACCAGCUCGCGUUUCCUCUGCAGGCUGCUUCACUUCCAGAACUCAUUUCUCCCUGACAGUUCAGGCGCCGCUGACGCCUCCUGGCUACGUUUCUGAUCUCUGCGCGAGUCCUGAGUGGAAAUGCAGCCGAAGGUUUGGAAAGGCGUGUUGGAGGAGGCGCCCUGUCCUGAUGAUUUAGGGCCGAUUGAAGGCGUUUGAUCCUCAUAACAGUUUAAAUUUAAAGAGGAAGACAUGUUUUACAGUUUAUGAUGUUUAAAUUAAUAACAACAUUUUGAUUUUUGUGAGUUUUGUCCUCAGGUAAAACUCACAAAAAUCAACAGUCAAAAUUAAAUUAAAGCUACCCAUCUCCCGCCCUCGUUCGACCUGGUCAGUGUAAAUUCAGGAAAACCCCUUUUUUCAAAAUGGUGGCUUUUUUGUUAGUAGCAACCAUUUAUUUUUUUCAUCGUCAGGGGCUGACGAGCAGAUCUACGUAAUGUUUAGAAGAAUUAACAAAAGUAAAUUUUUCUGUUUCCUUAGCAGCGGGGGAUUUUUGUUAGCCACUCCCACAAUCCUACUAUAUUGUUUUGUUCAGUUGGAGACGAUGAUUCACAUAUUACAUUUUCAACAUUUUCUUGUAAAAAAAAAAGAAACAAUGCGUGAGCUACACGCCAUUUUUGUAAACUUUCCACGCAAACGCCACUAAAAAUCUACAAACUUUA